GAGAGUUCUAUGUGGGGUUAGGUGUGUUUCCAUGGGUUUGCGUCAAGAGGAAGAUCUCAUUCAACCUAUGAAGGAUGACAUCAAGUGGUGAUCGUCAUCAAGAUUGCGGUGUGCAAGUUCAAGUGGAGCAUCACGAAGAUAUCAUGCUUGAAGCUUGUCGUCCAUUGUGGUGGCAAUGGACUUGUGAAGAAUGUGAUCAAGAGUGUCUCACGCAUAGUGAGCAUGGGGGAGCAAUCAAGAAAGGUGGUCCAUCUUGAGAAAGCCAAGAUCAUCAUCAUCUAGUCCUGAGAGGACACCUUCUGACCGAGGAACACCUAGCUCCUAUGGCUUGCCCAAAUCAGCUACCAGGUCCAGAAGGAAGAUCAAUUCUAAUGAAGAAUAUGUUGAAUUUAUCCCAGAGGAAUCUAUUCCCCGGAAGCAGAAGGUGAAGACCACGGU
rnacentral:lncRNA from 1 species